GAUUUCAACUGAAAAAUUCAUCAACUACAAAGUUGUAUAACUCAUCAAUAUCUAUAACUUUUAUUUUGAUAAUUUCUUCAUCCGACAAAAUGACAGUAACAUUGUUCACAAAAAAUUACAUCUCUCUCUUGUAGUUUAUAAACUAUAUAAGAGAUAUGUACAUUUUGUGAACAAUGUUAAAAAUAACUUUCUCGGAUGAAGAAAUGACCCAAAUAAAAGUUAUAGAUCUUGAUGAGUUAUACCACUUUGUUAUUAAUGACUUUUCAGUUGAAAUC
rnacentral:pre_miRNA from 1 species